ACCAACACACCACAGGACACAGCUGAGCCCCUCAGCCAAGAUGGUAGUUGGUGCUUGGGGAAAAUGUGUUUAAGAAAGGGCAGAAAACACCGCACAGGUGAGGAGUGAGAAAUGGCUCCACAGACACCCUGGUCAGAGUAGAAGGAGGGGAGGAGGCACUCCAGGUGCCGGAACAGACAGUCCUCUGCGCCCCUGCCGAGAUCACGGUGCAGCAGGGAAUCCACAUGAACUAUGAGCAUUAUGAAAGUCCAGAAAGAAGGAAGCUCAUGCCUUACUAUUCGCUAGAGAAUCUGCAAGAGACACUGACCAACCAAUGGAUCCUCUGAUGCACACACAGUAAGAUGUGAGCCUCAACUGAACCCUUCUGUAAUUGGGGCAUUUGGACAGUCCCUGUCCCACGUGGAUUUCCUGGACUCUAAUAAGCUUGAGCUCAUUCUGUAGUCUUUCCCUAAGGUAUAAUAAUAAGGUCUCUACCUGUCACCUA